rnacentral:lncRNA from 1 species
CUGUUUCACUGCAGGUGGAACACCAACCUGUACCUCAUUUUAACUUAUGUAUGUCAGGCCUGCCUCUGUGCCUCCUCACUGCAGCUACCCUGAUUAUUGACAGAUUAUAGAAGUUUGAGAUCUGGAAGUCUCUUGGUUGUAUUGAUUUUUGCAUGAAAUUGGAAUGCAAAUUCAAUGUCUUUCUGGUCCAAACAUGAGAAGUCGUGAUUCUACUUAACUGAAAAAGGAACCAUAUUUGGCAGCAUAUAGGAAAGAUAAUGUAUUCCAGGUGGGGUCAUGGAGCAGAUGCAAACAUCAUUCAUGCUUAAGUCUUGAACUUUUCUUAGGAAGCAAUACAUUGUACAAGUUUAGACUUUUAAUACCUCAAAAGAGACCAAAAUAAAUUAUUUUUUGUUAAUUGAAAAUAUUUAUAGAAAUUUUCAUGUGAACAUAUGUGAGCCUAUAGCUUU